UACGGGAGGCAGCAGUGGGGAAUAUUGCACAAUGGGCGCAAGCCUGAUGCAGCCAUGCCGCGUGUAUGAAGAAGGCCUUCGGGUUGUAAAGUACUUUCAGUCGUGAGGAAGGUGUUAAGGUUAAUAACCUUAGCAAUUGACGUUAGCGACAGAAGAAGCACCGGCUAACUCCGUGCCAGCAGCCGCGGUAAUACGGAGGGUGCGAGCGUUAAUCGGAAUUACUGGGCGUAAAGGGCACGCAGGCGGUUAAUUAAGUUGGAUGUGAAAUCCCCGGGCUUAACCUGGGAAUGGCAUUCAAGACUGGUUAGCUAGAGUCUUGUAGAGGGGGUAGAAUUCCAUGUGUAGCGGUGAAAUGCGUAGAGAUGUGGAGGAAUACCGGUGGCGAAGGCGGCCCCUGGACAAAGACUGACGCUCGUGUGCGAAAGCGUGGGGAGCAAACAGGGAUUAGAUACC
rnacentral:rRNA from 1 species